rnacentral:rRNA from 1 species
GAUGAACGCUAGCGGCAGGCUUAAUACAUGCAAGUCGAGGGGUAGCAAGAUUGUAGCAAUACAAUUGUUGACGACCGGCAAACGGGUGCGGAACACGUACACAACCUUCCUACAAGUGGGGAAUAGCACAGAGAAAUUUGGAUUAAUACCCCGUAACAUAGCGAUGUGGCAUCACAUUGCUAUUAUAGCUACGGCGCUUGUUGAUGGGUGUGCGGCUGAUUAGAUAGUUGGCGGGGUAACGGCCACCAAGUCUACGAUCAGUAGCUGAUGUGAGAGCAGGAUCAGCCACACGGGCACUGAGACACGGGCCCGACUCCUACGGGAGGCAGCAGUAAGGAAUAUUGGACAAUGGACGCAAGUCUGAUCCAGCCAUGCCGCGUGAAGGAUUAAGGUCCUCUGGAUUGUAAACUUCUUUUAUAAGGGACGAAAAAAGGUCUUUCUAGAUCGUCUGACGUUACUCGCAGAAUAAGCACCGGCUAACUCUGUGCCAGCCGCCGCCGUAAAAC